rnacentral:rRNA from 1 species
AGUGAACGCUGGCGGCAGGCCUAAUACAUGCAAGUCGAACGGCAGCACAGUAAGAGCUUGCCCUUACGGGUGGCGAGUGGCGGACGGGUGAGGAAUACAUCGGAAUCUACUUUUUCGUGGGGGAUAACGUAGGGAAACUUACGCUAAUACCGCAUACUACCUACGGGUGAAAGCAGGGGAUCUUCGGACCUUGCGCGAUUGAAUGAGCCGAUGUCGGAUUAGAUAGGUGGGGGGGUAAAGGCACACCAAGGCGACGCACCGUAGCCGGACUGACAGGAUGGAUGGGCCACACGGAAACGAGGAACGGUCCCGACGACGAAGGGAGGCAGCAGGAGGGAAAUUUCGGGAAUGGGCGGAAGCCUGACGCCGGCAAGCCGCGUGAGGGAAGGAGGGCUUCGGAGUGUAAAACCCUUUUAUUAGGGAAGAAAAAACGGGUAGGUAAUUCCCCACAUUUUGACGGUACCUAAACAGAAAGCCACGGCUAACUUCGUG